AAGUGUGAGUCCAUAGGGACGACGAAGGUCAUUCAUGUAAAUAAAUCAAAGAUGAGGGCAAAUUUUAAACCCUCAUUUGUGUCUCCAUUACGUUCCACGUGUUAAUGGCACAGACCCACUUGGAAAUCUAGCUUCUUCUGACACAUUCUUACUCUCUUCUUGAGCUCUUCUUCUGCUCAUCUCUGUUUCUCUUUUCUCUUUCUCCGGUGAGUUCUUCUCCGUCCUUUUUAGUUUUCGUUCAGUGACAUUUUAGUUUGUUGAGACAAAUCUUCAUGUUAUUAGGGCUAUUAAGGCCUGGUGUUGGAGGAAAAUUGGGGCAAAAUAAGAGAGCACUAAGUACAAUCAAUAAGAAUGAAGUUAGCUGCACAAAUCGUAAGCAAACAACAACAACAACCAGCAGUCGAGGUAACAAAGCAUCUGCCAGUCCCAGUGGCACCAAACAGAAAUGAAUCAGAAGACUGCAUUAUUAUCGAUGCUGAAGAUUACAAGGCCACUGGUUAUUCUGCCGUGCCAAUGUUUGUGCAACAUACAGAAGCAAUGAUGGAGGAAAUUGACAGGAUGGAUGAGGAGAUAGAGAUGGAAGAUUGGUCAAGUGUUGAUUUGUUGACACAUGCAGUUCUUAUAAAAAGAACUCACUUGCGGUGGUGGAAUACAUUGACGAUAUCUAUGCUUACUACAAGAAGGCUGAGAUCGAUGGAUCAGCACCCCUUCCUUACGGUGUACGCUUGGAGGAUACACUGGAAAGCAAUGAGGAAAAGAACAACAACUAUAAAGAUUUAACGCAAGGAAAUAGACAAGAAUAUUCUACAAGGUUUUUGAAAGUGAUAGCUGCUUAAGCGGGAAAAGAGGAAUAGUGGAAUACUAUUGCGACUGUAAGAGUUCCUCGAGGAGUCAAACGUACAGAUUCUCAGUCACCCUAGACUCUCGAUCACUGCACCUUCCCAUCUAUCUUCCAACUUUACCCAGUAACCCAUGUGGUUUAACUUGAAAAGUAUCAAUUCUGAAGUUGAGGUUGAAGAUUACAGUUACAAACAAAGAAUUGCAAACAGGGAGUCAACUGAUUGCUUUCUUUGAGGUAAGCUUAUGCUGUCUUUUUUUGGCAAUCGCUUUUGUUCUGUAUCUUUUUGUUGAUUUUCUUGAUAGGUUUGAUGUUUCUUUCAGUUUCUGUUGUUACGUUUAGUUUUUGGGUUGAAAUCAUCUUGCAUGUUAACUCUACUGAAUUUUUUGGUUUCUCUAUUGAUGAAUUCCUGCAAGUCCACACUCUGUUAUGGGUAGCUAUAAGUAACAAGUUUGUGCAGUAUAUAUGCAGUAAACCCCAUCGAUGAGACUUUAAAGUCUAUGAAUCUAUGGUAUAUACACUUAAUGUUAACAUGUCUCUGGUAGCGCUUUUAUUUAUCCAGAUAAAUGUAAGUCAUUUGAUGUUCUAAAAUUAAAAUGAGGAGACAAAUGACAUUCCAUUUUACCUCUGCGAAAGAAAAAAAAUCAACUUUUGAUAUGCUAUGG